rnacentral:rRNA from 1 species
AAAUUGAAGAGUUUGAUCAUGGCUCAGAUUGAACGCUGGCGGCAGGCCUAACACAUGCAAGUCGAACGGUAGCACAGAGAGCUUGCUCUCGGGUGACGAGUGGCGGACGGGUGAGUAAUGUCUGGGAAACUGCCUGAUGGAGGGGGAUAACUACUGGAAACGGUGGCUAAUACCGCAUAACGUCGCAAGACCAAAGAGGGGGACCUUCGGGCCUCUUGCCAUCAGAUGUGCCCAGAUGGGAUUAGCUAG